rnacentral:tRNA from 1 species
GCCCGGAUAGCUCAGUUGGUAGAGCAGAGGAUUGAAAAUCCUCGUGUCGGCAGUUCGAUUCUGUCUCCGGGCACCA